rnacentral:rRNA from 1 species
GAUGAACGCUAGCGAUAGGCUUAACACAUGCAAGUCGAGGGGCAGCACAAGGUAGCUUGCUAUCUGGGUGGCGACCGGCGCACGGGUGCGUAACGCGUAUGCAACUUGCCCUAUACAGGAGGAUAACCCGUCGAAAGACGGACUAAUACUGCGUAUGCUCACAACUUGGCAUCAAGUGGUGAGGAAAGAAAUUCGGUAUAGGAUAGGCAUGCGUCCCAUUAGCUUGUUGGUGAGGUAACGGCUCACCAAGGCAACGAUGGGUAGGGGAACUGAGAGGUUUAUCCCCCACACUGGUACUGAGACACGGACCAGACUCCUACGGGAGGCAGCAGUGAGGAAUAUUGGUCAAUGGGCGCGAGCCUGAACCAGCCAAGUCGCGUGAAGGAUGACUGUCUUAUGGAUUGUAAACUUCUUUUAUACGGGAAUAACAUGAGUCACGUGUGACUCCCUGCAUGUACCGUAUGAAUAAGCAUCGGCUAACUCCGUG